rnacentral:rRNA from 1 species
AUGGAGAUUAGUUGGAUUUGGCAGCCCCGGAAGGGGCGCGACGGCGGCGGCAACAUCCUUCCGGGGCCGCUACGACGACUCCCUGCAGUGCGCCAAGAAGUUCUACCCCUCCGCCUCGGCUACCAGGACGAGCUGCUCUGGGGCGCCGCCUGGCUCUACGAGGCCACCGGCGACGAGGACUACCUCGACUACGUAUCCCGGGACGCCGUGGGCUUCGGCAGGACCGGCUGGGCCGUGCGCGAGUUCUCCUGGGACAACAAGUAUGCUGGCGUCCAGGUGCUGCUCUCCAAGGUGCUCCUCGCCGGCGGCGGCGAUGAAGAACGGCGGCAACAACGUCCACCUGGUAGAGCGGCGGGCGCAGGCGGAGCAGGCGGCGGUGGCGCGGCUAGCAUCCGGCGGAGGAAGGUGAGGACGGCCUGGCGGCGGUGGCACGACUUGCCCUCGAAGCAGAGGGGGCGAAGCAGAGGAAGUCGCCAGCGGCGGCUCGAAGCGACGGAAUGCGCAGGGACGGCGGGGAAUGGAGCGGCGACGGGGCAACGGCUCCGGCGUGCUGCUCGUCGGCGGGAGGCAGGGUCGCAAGAAAACGAGGCGAGGCAGGUCGGCGAUGGAGCAGGAGAGGCAGAUCCCGAUCUGAAUCGGGAGGGUGUUUUCGCUUUUUGGCAAAAUUGUUGGGGUGAUGGUCAGAAUGCGCCCCACAUCGGUGCAGAUGUUAGCGCGCUCGAUGUCUUCGAUGGCAAAGCUAGCAUCUCAACAAAUGCCCAAUGUGUGCAGUUCAUCUUGAUACAUGAUUUCAUGUUGAUCGAGGUAUUGGAGCAAGAUUUCUUCUCUGGCAAGUUCAUGGCGGCAACACAAGAGACUUCAUCUUUGGUGGUGCUCCUUGAAUUCUGGUUUGUUUUGACUUCCUCCCCCGGGGUGAAAACUCAUGAUUCAGCCUAUGUGGUUGGAUCCGGCAACAAUCAUGCGAGUAUACAUGUGGCCGUGGCUGCGGGGCGUGGCAGCGGAACGCGUGCGCACGCGGGAUGUGCGGCGAUCGAUCGGAUGGAUCGUGGUCGAUCGGGCAAGCAUCAGGGGGCACAGGUACGUGCUCGUGGGAUCGUCUGGCAGCUAGGAGGCUGGCCUUGUGCAGGCCAAGGCCCACGUGUGGGCGUCAUGGAGCAGAUGGGCCAGCUGGAUGGAGCUUUCAUCAAUUCAUAUUUGGAUGAAACAAGAUUGUUGCGGCCAGAGAGCAGAAGCACAAGAAGCACGCGGGUGCGGCCAUCAGGCUGGAUUGCACCACUGAAAAACUACUCGAAGCUUAAUGUAGAUGCUUCAGUACAUCGUCAGGGUCAUGUUGGAGCGGUGGGAGCUAUCUGCCGUGACCAAGCUGGCCUAUUCCUUGGAGCGUCUGCUAUAGUGUACAACAAUGGUGAUCCAGCUACUUUGGAGGCGAUGGCCAUUCGGGAGGGUCUGGACUUGGCGGCAGACCUACAGAUUCAGCAGAUACAACUCGCAUCAGACUGCAAGGGAGUGAUAGAAGAAAUUCAGAGUGGAAGUGCCGCUACUUAUGGGGCGAUCAUUAAGGAGAUCAAGCAACAACAAUCUACUUUUAGUUCUUGUUUCUUUAUUCAUGAAUUUAGGAGCUCAAAUGUUGAGGCUCACAACCUAGCGAGACAUGCUUUAUCUUUGGGACCUGGCCGCCAUGUUUGGUUUGGCCAUCCCGUGGGGAUUCCGUUCGUCCAUGUAAACGUUGUGACGGUUUGA